rnacentral:ncRNA from 1 species
AAGUAUCUCCGAGUCCCGUCACGGAUGACGGUGAUAGGAGUAACGGCUGGUUGGCACAGCCAUCGACGUUCUUGUUUGACAAGGAAACUGGUGCCUUCGCACCUCAAGAACAGGUCACGUCGUAAACCACAAUAUCCCAACCCAGCGGUGCGGUGCCGUGGGAUUCCCGCGUGUUCACGCGCGGGA